ACUUUAAAAUGUAACAUAAAACCAAUUGAACUUUAAAAUUUUGCACAAUUAAUCUUUUUAAUUCCCAAUAGCCAUUUAUACAAUCUAAAGUGGUAGUAACAUGGACAAUUCUCUCUCCCGUGAUAAAACCGGCUAUGAUUUUCUUCACAAAUCAACUAUGAAAGAAUCCCAGUGUAGAGGAUAAUAAAGCGUUAGAUAUAUAGAAACUGAUUAGAUUGUCCACAUCAAUGUGUUAUUUAUAAACACUCUAUCAAUGAUUAGAAGGAUUUUACUAUACAAAAUUUCAAAAUUCAGGGAUUUAUGUUAUAUUUUUAAGUUUAGGGCAUAUUUGUUACAACUCUCAAACCCAGGACACUCUUGAAAUUUAUCUCAUGACAUUAAUAUAUUUCUACCAUAAGGAAGAUAACUAGCGUGAGGAACCCAGAGAAGCAGCUAGAAAAGCAUGCCUAAUUUUAAUAUUGGGUGUAAUCAUGUGACCUGCCAAGCACACCUUCAGGAAACACAGUGCCCAUCUCAAAUGAUAUUAUCUGAGACGCAGGUAGCAAUUUCAACACUAUUACGAGGAAAAUUUAAUGUAUUUUUCACCCAAAUCACAACCUACGUAACUG
rnacentral:misc_RNA from 1 species